rnacentral:tRNA from 1 species
AGCGGAUAUAGUUUAAUGGUAAAAUUCGAGCUUCCCAAGCUUGCGUUGCGAGUUCGAUUCUCGUUAUCCGCUU